rnacentral:rRNA from 1 species
AACAAACGCUGGCGGCGUGCCUAAUACAUGCAAGUCGAACGAGGAAAGCUUUCGGGUGAGUACUAGUGGCGCACGGGUGAGGAAUACAUGGGUAAUCUGCCCUCGAGUUGGGGAUAACCAGUCGAAAGAUUGGCUAAUACCGAAUAAGACCACAGGAUCUGCGGAUCUAGGGGUUAAAGGUUUUUCGCUUGAGGAUGAGCCCAUGCGGGAUUAGCUAGUUGGUGAGGUAAUGGCUCACCCAGGCUACGAUCCCUAACUGGUCUUAGAGGAUGAUCAGUCACACUGGAACUGAGACACGGUCCAGACUCCUACGGGAGGCAGCAGUAGGGAAUAUUGCACAAUGGGGGAAACCCUGAUGCAGCGACGCCGCGUGAGUGAUGAAGGCCUUCGGGUCGUAAAGCUCUGUCGUAUGGGACUAACACAAUGAAGGUACCAUGCAAGAAAGGAUCGGCUAACUUCGUGCCAGCCGCCGCGGUAAUAC